UACGUAGGGCGCGAGCGUUAAUCGGAAUUACUGGGCGUAAAGCGUGCGCAGGCGGUUUCGGAAGACAGAUGUGAAAUCCCCGGGCUUAACAUGGGAACUGCGUUUGUGUCUGCGAGACUCGAGUGUGGCAGAGGGGGGUGGAAUUCCACGUGUAGCAGUGAUAUAGGUAGAGAUAUGGAGGAACAUCGAAGGCGAAGGCAGCACCCUGGGUUGACAAUGACGCUCAUGCACGAAAGCGUGGGUAGCAAACAUG
rnacentral:rRNA from 1 species